GAUGAACGCUGGCGGCGUGCUUAACACAUGCAAGUCGAACGGAAAGGCUCCUGCUUGCAUGGGUACUCGAGUGGCGAACGGGUGAGUAACACGUGGGUGAUCUGCCCUGCACUUCGGGAUAAGCCUGGGAAACUGGGUCUAAUACCGGAUAGGACCACAUUUUGGAUGGUGUGGUGGAAAGUUUUUCGGUGUGGGAUGAGCUCGCGGCCUAUCAGCUUGUUGGUGGGGUAAUGGCCUACCAAGGCGUCGACGGGUAGCCGGCCUGAGAGGGUGUACGGCCACAUUGGGACCGAGAUACGGCCCAGACUCCUACGGGAGGCAGCAGUGGGGAAUAUUGCACAAUGGGCGGAAGCCUGAUGCAGCGACGCCGCGUGGGGGAUGACGGCCUUCGGGUUGUAAACUCAUUUCGCUAGGGACGAAGCGUUUUUGUGACGGUACCUGGAGAAGAAGCACCGGCUAACUACGUG
rnacentral:rRNA from 1 species